rnacentral:rRNA from 1 species
UACGUAGGGUGCAAGCGUUAAUCGGAAUUACUGGGCGUAAAGCGUGCGCAGGCGGUUAUGUAAGACAGGUGUGAAAUCCCCGGGCUUAACCUGGGAACUGCAGUCGAGACUGCUUUGCUUGAGUAUGGGAGAGGGAGGUGGAAUUUCCGGUGUAGUGGUGAAAUGCGUAGAGAUCGGGAGGAACACCCGUGGCGAAGGCGGCCAGCUGGGCCGGACCUGACGCUGAGGCGCGAAAGCGUGGGGAGCAAACAGG